AAGUCGUAACAAGGUAACCGUAGGUGAACCUGCGGUUGGAUCAUUAGUGGUUUUUACGUAGCGCUGUUGUAGUGUUUCUGGGGGGUUUUCUUUGGUUUUGUGUGUUUGUUGUUGGUUGUUUGUCUGUUUUUGUGCAUUGCCUUGUGCUGCCUUGUGCGGUGUCUUGUGCGUUGCCGUGGCAGUACAAACGGAUCGACGGCAACACUCGGACCAGACCCAAGAACCCUUGCAGACAAUAGACGUCUUUGCUUGCUUUGAUGAAACCAAAUCAAAAACAACUUUUGACAACGGAUCUCUUGGCUCUC
rnacentral:misc_RNA from 1 species